GCACCCGCAGUCGCAUCCCCACCGGGCAGCCCCUGCCCCUCCACCAGGCCCCUCUCCCCAAGAUAGCCGGGGAACCCUUACGAAUCACAUCCGGAAAGGGGCGGUGGGGUGGGGCAACGGGGCGGGGCGAGCCCCGUAGGAGAAUACCGCGCUUCCCUGUCUUCUGCCAGCGGUCGCGCUGUGGUGGCUGCCAGCUGCCCAGUCGCCCCUCUCGCGGAACCUGCAGUGUCUCCCGCGAGCCCCUCCAGGCCAGAGGCUCCCGCAGCUCCCAACCUGCUAUUGACUUGUGAAGGUCUGUGUCCUACCCACGUCUGGCCAUUGCCCUUCUCAUGAGUUUCGCCCCGGUUGGCAGUGACCUUGUUGCCUGCUGCCAGGUCUAUAAGGACAUCAGGAACUGCCUGUGAACCCAGUGAUAGCUCAGAAACAAAAAACAACGGAAGCAGCAAGGUUUUUUUUACAAACAACUGAGGAGACAGGCUUUCUUGUUGAAUUUGCCUCUCUGAUUGUCUCCAGAGAGGGAGGGCUGUCCCAUGGAUUGGCGGAGCACUCUUUACCCCUUCUGCUCCAGUGUCCUGCCCCCCUCAGCAAGGGGGCACAGUGCAGGGCCGCUGAGCAGAGAGACCAGGAGCUCCGGGCCCACGGGGGCAGGGAUAGCACAUUGUUUUGUUUUCAUGCUGUGUUCUUGGAGACUAACUUUAGCUCCAACUCUACUUUCUUCUCCUUUGACCAGGUCCAAACCCCCAUAGGAUCCUGUUGGUACAAGAGCUUAGCUGUGCCCCUCUCCCAAGACCUCCGCCCCAGGCUUUUGGGGCUGUCUCCAUCUCAUUUUGGGGGAGUGACCAUACCCAGGCCCCCUCCCAUGGAAGGCCUUAUCUUCUGCUCCCGAGGACCUGGGGAGGCCUUGACACAAAAUAAAGGGGGAGCUGCUCUAGUCAGGGGAGUGCAAGAGAAGCCGGAGCCAGCUGGGAAGGCAGGGAUGGUGGAGGGCCUGUGAGGUGCAGGGAGCCCCCGUCUUCCUAACUUUUUUGAUUCACCAGUAAGUCUUUUUAAAUUAGAAGAACUCAGAACACUGCAAUUUUAGAGGUUUCCAAAGUCCAGGUAUGACUUUGGGUAUGUAGAAGUUAAUGUGCUGUUUUUCAUUUCGCUCUUUGUUUUUGUGUGUGGUUUUUUGGGGGUUUAGUUUUUGCCAUGCCAUGUGGCAUGUGGAAUCUUAAUUCCCUGACCAGGGUUCAAACCCGUGCCCCCUGCAGUGGAAGCGUGGAGUCCUAACCACUGGACCAUCAGGCAAGUCCCUUAUUUCGCUGCUUUUAAGUCAGCCCCUAUGCAUCCCCUUCUCCAUUUCCGUCCACUGGGAAAAUUGAGCCAUCCAGGCCUCCAUGUUGCUUUUAUUUACUUAUUUAUUUAUUAAAUUUAUUUAUUAAUUUAUUAUUUUAUUAUCUGUGUUGUUGGGUUCUUUUUUUUUUUGGCUGUGCGUGGGCUUCCUUUUAGUUGCGGUGAGUGGGGGCUACUCUUUGUUGUGGUGCACGGGCUCCUCAUUGCAGUGGCUUCUCUUGUUGCGGAGCUCGGGCUCUAGGUGCAUGGGCUUCAGUAGUUGCAGCACAUGGGCUCAAUAGUUGUGGUGCACGGGCUCUAAAGCGCAGGCUCAGUAGUUGUGGCACACGGGCUUAGUUGCUCCACGGCAUGUGGGAUCUUCCUGGAGCAGGGAUCAAACCCGUGUCCCCUGCAUUGGCAGGCGGAUUCUCAACCACUGUGCCACCUGGGAAGCCCCUCCUUGUUGCUUUCAGAUGAGAACAUUUACCAAGAACAUCAAUGUAAUUUUUCUACACCAUUUGGAAAUUUAUGUGGCUCUUUAUGAUUGUUAAGUUGCUGUGGCCUGUUAAUAUAACCCCGAACUUAGAAGUAAUUUGAAUAAGGUGGUUUUGUAGGACUUAA